rnacentral:rRNA from 1 species
CCUUAGCCUUGGAGUGGGGAAUAACAGCUGGAAACAGCUGCUAAUACCGCAUAAUGCAGUUGGGUCGCAUGGCUCUGACUGCCAAAGAUUUAUCGCUCUGAGAUGGACUCGCGUCUGAUUAGCUAGUUGGCGGGGCAACGGCCCACCAAGGCGACGAUCAGUAGCCGGACUGAGAGGUUGGCCGGCCACAUUGGGACUGAGACACGGCCCAGACUCCUACGGGAGGCAGCAG